GUCUCGUGACUGCGUGCCUUUUGAAGAAUGAGCCUGCGAGUUUGCGGUGUGUUGCGAGGUUAACCCGUGUGGGGAAGCCGUAGCGAAAGCGAGUCCGAACAGGGCGAUUUCAGUAGCACGCUCAAGACCCGAAGCGGAGUGAUCUAGCCAUGGGCAGGUUGAAGCGGAGGUAAGACUUCGUGGAGGACCGAACCCACCAGGGUUGAAAACCUGGGGGAUGACCUGUGGUUAGGGGUGAAAGGCCAAUCAAACUCCGUGAUAGCUGGUUCUCCCCGAAAUGCAUUUAGGUGCAGCGUCGUGUGUUUCUUGCCGGAGGUAGAGCACUGGAUAGGCGAUGGGCCCUACCGGGUUACUGACCUUAGCCAAACUCCGAAUGCCGGUAAGUGAGAGCACGGCAGUGAGACUGUGGGGGAUAAGCUCCAUGGUCGAGAGGGAAACAGCCCAGAGCAUCGACUAAGGCCCCUAAGCGUACGCUAAGUGGGAAAGGAUGUGGAGUCGCAGAGACAACCAGGAGGUUGGCUUAGAAGCAGCCACCCUUGAAAGAGUGCGUAAUAGCUCACUGGUCAAGUGAUUCCGCGCCGACAAUGUAGCGGGGCUCAAGCGUACCGCCGAAGUCGUGUCAUUGCAGCAUGAGGGCCAACGCCCGCUGUGAUGGGUAGGGGAGCGUCGUGUGCCGGGUGAAGCAGCCGCGGAAGCGAGUUGUGGACGGUUCACGAGUGAGAAUGCAGGCAUGAGUAGCGAUACACACGUGAGAAACGUGUGCGCCGAUUGACUAAGGGUUCCUGGGUCAAGCUGAUCUGCCCAGGGUAAGUCGGGACCUAAGGCGAGGCCGACAGGCGUAGUCGAUGGACAACCGGUUGAUAUUCCGGUACCCGCUUUGAAACGCCCAAUAUCGAAUCAGGCGAUGCUAAGUCCGUGAAGCCGCCCCGGAGCCUUCGGGCAAAGGGGAGUGGUGGAGCCGACGAACCAGACUUGUAGUAGGUAAGCGAUGGGGUGACGCAGGAAGGUAGUCCAGCCCGGGCGGUGGUUGUCCCGGGGUAAGGGUGUAGGACGUCACGUAGGCAAAUCCGCGUGACACAUAGUCUGAGACCUGAUGCCGAGCCGAUUGUGGUGAAGUGGAUGAUCCUAUGCUGUCGAGAAAAGCCUCUAGCGAGUUUCAUGGCGGCCCGUACCCUAAACCGACUCAGGUGGUCAGGUAGAGAAUACCGAGGCGUUCGGGUGAACUAUGGUUAAGGAACUCGGCAAAAUGCCCCCGUAACUUCGGGAGAAGGGGGGCCACACCUGGUGAAGGAACUUGCUUCCUAAGCUGGGGGUGGCCGCAGAGACCAGCGAGAAGCGACUGUUUACUAAAAACACAGGUCCGUGCGAAGCCGUAAGGCGAUGUAUACGGACUGACGCCUGCCCGGUGCUGGAACGUUAAGGGGACCGGUUAGCUCCAUUUCGGUGGGGCGAAGCUGAGAACUUAAGCGCCAGUAAACGGCGGUGGUAACUAUAACCAUCCUAAGGUAGCGAAAUUCCUUGUCGGGUAAGUUCCGACCUGCACGAAUGGCGUAACGACUUCUCGACUGUCUCAACCAUAGGCCCGGUGAAAUUGCACUACGAGUAAAGAUGCUCGUUUCGCGCAGCAGGACGGAAAGACCCCGGGACCUUUACUACAGUUUGAUAUUGGUGUUCGGUUCGGCUUGUGUAGGAUAGGUGGGAGACUGUGAAGCCGUGACGCCAGUCAUGGUGGAGUCGUCGUUGAAAUACCACUCUGGUCGUGCUGGAUGUCUAACCUCGGUCCGUGAUCCGGAUCAGGGACAGUGUCUGAUGGGUAGUUUAACUGGGGCGGUUGCCUCCCAAAGGGUAACGGAGGCGCCCAAAGGUUCCCUCAGCCUGGUUGGCAAUCAGGUGUUGAGUGUAAGUGCACAAGGGAGCUUGACUGUGAGACCGACGGGUCGAGCAGGGACGAAAGUCGGGACUAGUGAUCCGGCGGUGGCUUGUGGAAGCGCCGUCGCUCAACGGAUAAAAGGUACCCCGGGGAUAACAGGCUGAUCUUCCCCAAGAGUCCAUAUCGACGGGAUGGUUUGGCACCUCGAUGUCGGCUCGUCGCAUCCUGGGGCUGGAGUCGGUCCCAAGGGUUGGGCUGUUCGCCCAUUAAAGCGGUACGCGAGCUGGGUUUAGAACGUCGUGAGACAGUUCGGUCCCUAUCCGCUGUGCGCGUAGGAAUAUUGAGAAGGGCUGUCCCUAGUACGAGAGGACCGGGACGGACGAACCUCUGGUGUGCCAGUUGUCCUGCCAAGGGCAUGGCUGGUUGGCUACGUUCGGGAGGGAUAACCGCUGAAAGCAUCUAAGCGGGAAGCCUGCUUCGAGAUGAGUAUUCCCACCCACUUGAUGGGGUAAGGCUCCCAGUAGACGACUGGGUUGAUAGGCCGGAUGUGGAAGCCCUGCAAAGGGUGGAGCUGACCGGUACUAAUAGGCCGAGGGCUUGUCCUC
rnacentral:rRNA from 1 species